rnacentral:rRNA from 1 species
UGGGGAAUUUUGGACAAUGGGGGCAACCCUGAUCCAGCCAUUCCGCGUGAGUGAAGAAGGCCUUCGGGUUGUAAAGCUCUUUUGUCCGGAACGAAACGGUGAACGUGAAUAUCGUUCGCUACUGACGGUACCUGAAGAAUAAGCACCGGCUAACUUCGUGCCAGCAGCCGCGGUAAUACGAAGGGUGCUAGCGUUGUUCGGAAUUACUGGGCGUAAAGAGCGCGUAGGCGGUUAUACAAGUCAGAGGUGAAAUCCCGGAGCUUAACUCCGGAACUGCCUUUGAAACUGUAUAGCUGGAGUAUGUGAGGGGAUAGCGGAAUUCCUAAUGUAGAGGUGAAAUUCGUAGAUAUUAGGAGGAACACCGGUGGCGAAGGCGGCUAUCUGGCACAUUACUGACGCUGAGGCGCGAAAGCGUGGGGAUCAAACAG